AUCAUUUCAUUAAUUUCAUGAUCCUAAUAAAAGACUCCAGUUUUGCGAAUAAAUGAUGGAUCUACUUGACAGGAAUUUUCUACAAAUAAAAAACUUUUCUAAUACGUUACGUUUAUAUAUCUAGAAAAAGUCAAUGUUUGCACAGGGAUUGAUGGUGAUUGUGUUAUAGGACCGAUUUUCUUCCAUGAAAGUCCUAAUGGAGCAAGAUAUUUAGAAUUCUUGCAGGUGAAUCUAGUUGCGAAUUUAAUUAUUUUGUUCCUUUGCCCUAUAAACGUGCGCCUUCUAAUUUCGCAAGACCUGUCCAGGAGUGCCUAGAUGAUAUAUUUCCAGAUAGAUGGAUUGGUAGAAAAAGAUCCUUUGAAUGGCCACAGGUUUCCGGAUUUAAUACCUUUGGACUUUUGAGAUUACUGGAAGACUAAAGUUGGUGCGCGAUUGGAUUAAGCAAAGAGAAACACACAAUUUAAUGACUAGCUAAUUGGAAAAGUUAUAGAACUAGAGGAUCAGGAGUGUUACAAAAAUUUUCUCAGGAUGUCGGCGGCCGAUUUUCAGUAUUUACUUAGCAAAAGAAAACCUGCGAUAGCAAAACAGAAUACAUUCAUGCGAAAUUCAAUUCCAGCAGCUAAGAGAUUAGCACUGACUCUUCGGUUUCUAGCAAUAGGUGAUAGCUACCACACACCUAUGCAUUUAUUUCGUAUACCUUUUUGUACAAUAUCAAGAACUGAAGAACUGAACAAAACCUGAAGUGUGCUCCGCAAUUUAUAAUAUUCUAAAAGAAGAAUACCUACAUGUAAAUUCCAUAAAUUAUAUUUAUUACAAAAGUUGUAUUUUACAUUUUAAAUAAUGCAGAUCCGCUUUCCUCAUAAUACUUCACAAGACUAAUGUCAUUAUCCUCAUCAUCGGCAAUAUCUUCUACCGGAGUAUCAUUAACUGCUUGUGCCAAUCAAGGAUU